CCUCCGUGAGAAGCUUCGUUAAGUCAUUUUGGUUUUCCUCCUCAAUUUCACCUUCAGAAUUCAUUUUUGAUCAACUGCUCAAUGUUAAAUUCAAAAUUGAAAAUAUUUUAGAUGCGCAGGACUUAGCGAAGUACAUAACUUUUUGUAGAUUGUCAUAAAUUGUUAUCGUCUUACCAUUUGACAAUAAACAAAACUUCACGGCAAUAAACAAAACUUCACGGCAAUAAACAAAACUACACGGCAAUAAACAAAACUACACGGCAAUAAACAAAACUCCACGGCAAUAAACAAAAUUCCACGGGUCACGGCGGAAGUGCUAUCUCGGUGGAAGUACAAGAUCAAAUACCAAAUCAUCGCCAUAUUGCCAUCGCGUAGCCGUGAUCGUUUUUUAUCUUUGCUUUGUAAGAAAGUUUUGCUCAAACUGUGGACAAGAGGUCGCAAGCACUUGGAAUUUGUUCGAAGUGUGGUUUCUGUGCGCCAUCGACCUCUUCCGCUUCGACGUCCAGUAACCAGAAUAACACUUGAAAGUAAUAAUGAUUCAGAUUUGCAAUCUGAAAACAGUGAGUAGUUUACUGAAGAGCUUAGAGAAGAAUUCAAUGAGAAAGCGACGGAAGGAAGCAUUGGCAUUGUAUAGGACUCUUACUUAUGUUGCUACUUGUGACGCAUAAUUGUAAAUAACCAUUUUUUUGAACUAGCUCAAAUCAUUUCAACCAUCUCAGUACCAAUGUUAAUUGUAAAUAGAUGGAUUUAAAAACAUCAAAAACGUUUUUUAAAUUUUUUCAUGU